rnacentral:sRNA from 20 species
CUGAGGGGUACCCGAGGCGUACGAUCGUUCGUACGACGGGUUCGGGAGUGGCUUGAUCCAAAGAGUCGGUUCAGGGGUGAAAA